rnacentral:rRNA from 1 species
AGCGAACGCUGGCGGCAGGCUUAACACAUGCAAGUCGAGCGCCCCGCAAGGGGAGCGGCAGACGGGUGAGUAACACGUGGGAACGUGCCUUUUGGUUCGGAACAACCCAGGGAAACUUGGGCUAAUACCGGAUAAGCCCUUACGGGGAAAGAUUUAUCGCCAAAAGAUCGGCCCGCGUCUGAUUAGCUAGUUGGUGGGGUAAUGGCCCACCAAGGCUACGAUCAGUAGCUGGUCUGAGAGGAUGAUCAGCCACAUUGGGACUGAGACACGGCCCAAACUCCUACGGGAGGCAGCAGUGGGGAAUAUUGGACAAUGGGGGCAACCCUGAUCCAGCCAUGCCGCGUGAGUGAUGAAGGCCUUAGGGUUGUAAAGCCCUUUUAGCAGGGAAGAUAACGACGGUACCUGCAGAAAAAACCCCGGCUAACUUCGUGCCAGCCGCCGCCGUAA